rnacentral:rRNA from 1 species
AACGCGUGGGUGACCUGCCCCAAAGUGUGGGAUAACAGUCCGAAAGGAUUGCUAAUACCGCAUGUGGUCGCUGUGUUUAGAAGUUAGCGACUAAAGCAGCAAUGCGCUUUGGGAGGGACCUGCGUCCCAUCAGCUAGUUGGUAAGGUAACGGCUUACCAAGGCGACGACGGGUAGGGGACCUGAGAGGGUGGCCCCCCACAAUGGAACUGAAACACGGUCCAUACACCUACGGGUGGCAGCAGUAGGGAAUAUUGCACAAUGGGCGAAAGCCUGAUGCAGCAACGCCGCGUGCGCGAAGAAGGUCUUCGGAUCGUAAAGCGCUUUUCUGGGAGAUGAGAAAGGACAGUAUCCCAGGAAUAAGUCUCGGCUAACUACGUGCCAGCAGCCGCGGUAACACGUAGGAGGCGAGCGUUAUCCGGAUUCACUGGGCGUAAAGCGCGUGCAGGCGGUUCGGUAAGUUGGGCGUGAAAUCUCCCGGCUCAACUGGGAGAGGUCGUUCAAUACUACCGGACUUGAGAGCGAUAGAGGAAAAUGGAAUUCCCGGUGUAGUGGUGAAAUGCGUAGAUAUCGGGAGGAACACCAGUGGCGAAAGCGAUUUUCUGGAUCGUUUCUGACGCUCAGACGCGAAAGC